GUCCCACCCACCCUGCCCCCAGGAACCUAGGGGUUUCAGAACAGCCUGAAUCAGGCUCCUGAAAUCUGACUCAGAGUUUGCCAGUAAGGAGUUGCUUCUAGAGAGGCUCUGAGAAUGGUUUUAGGUUGAUUCCUGAAGGCCUGAGAGAAGAGAGACAGCUUUGGGAAUGUUCUAGAAUGAGUAGAAGACAGUACGACAGGCUGGGGUAUUUGUGGCACUCUGUUCUAGAGCCGGGGUUGGCAAAUUACUGUCUGUGGACCAACUCUGGCCCACACCUGUUCUGGUAUGUCUUGUGUGCUACAAUGGCUUUUGUAUUUGUAAGUGCUUGGAAAACCCAAAAGAAGCGCAGCAUUUCUUGACACGUGAAAAUAAUAAUGCAAUUCAAGUUUCUGUGUCCACAAAUAAAGUUUUAUUGGGGCACCAUCAUAUCUAUUCGUUUAUAUAUUGUCUCUGGUGGUUUUUGUGUUGCAACAGAGACCACCUGUCCCACAAAAUAAAAAUAAUUUACUGUUUGGCCCUUUGCAGGAAAGUUCGCUAAUCCCUGCUCCAAAGGCAUGGGAAGAACCAGUUUUGACCAUCUGGAAUAUUCUAGAAUUUCCCCCAAAACUAUCUGAGGCUCUAUGUCAAAAGCAAAGUCUAUGGUUGUAAAAAGAGGAGAUGGUUUAGACCUAUAGUUCCAAGAAGGUUCUAGAGUUGUUGGUGGAGUUAUAACUCACCUAGGGAGUUCCAGAACUGGGCAUUGUGCCUGUGGUUCUAGGUGAAGGGAACCUGGGCUCCUGUGUGUUCUGGAAUGAUGAACAGAGCUGUAUGGUUCUAGUCAGACUGGAAGUUCUAGAACCAUAGGGCGAAUAGAAAGUCUCUGUGGCUCUAGACCAGUAGGAGAUAUCCUAGAACUAAGCAGAGCUGUCCAAUUCUAAAGGAGUCAUCAGAAAGUUCUAGAGGGGUGCCAUACAAAAUAAACACAGUGUGAGCUAUAUAUGACUUGAGGUUUUCUAGUUAUGGCUCUGGCUGGGUAAACCACUGGGUUAGAGCAUCGUCCUGAUACUUUGCCAAGAUUGUGGAUUCGAUCCCCAGUCAGGGCACACAUAAGAAUCAACCAAUGAAUGCAUAAAUAAGUGGAACAGCAAAAUCAUUGUUUCUCUCUUUUUCUCUCUCUCAAAUCUAUAAAUUAAAAAUGUAUAUAUUUUCUAAUUUUAAA